rnacentral:rRNA from 1 species
CCGCCCGUCACAUCACGAAAAGUGGGUGAUACUAGAAGUCGUCGUGCUAACCUGCAAAGGGAGUAGACGCCCAAGGUAUGACUCAUGAUUGGGGUG